AAGUCGUAACAAGGUUUCCGUAGGUGAACCUGCGGAAGGAUCAUUAUCGAGUUUUGAAACGGGUUGUAGCUGGCCUUCUUUGGCACCGUGCACGCCCUGCUCAUCCACUCUACACCUGUGCACUUACUGUAGGUUUCAGACGCGAUGCGAGUUUAGGCUCGCGGAGCUUAUGGGGCUUACGUUUCAACCACAAACGCUUCAGUAUCAGAAUGUGUAUCGCGAUGUAACGCAUCUAAAUACAACUUUCAGCAACGGAUCUCUUGGCUCUC
rnacentral:misc_RNA from 1 species